AGGACGAACGCUGGCGGCGUGCUUAACACAUGCAAGUCGAGCGGAAAGGCCCUCGGGGUACUCGAGCGGCGAACGGGUGAGUAACACGUGAGCAACCUGCCCUUAGCUUCGGGAUAGCUCCGGGAAACCGGAAUUAAAUACCGAAUAUGACUUUGGCUGACAUCAGCAGAAGUGGAAAGUUUUUCGGCUAGGGAUGGACUCGCGGCCUAUCAGCUAGUUGGUGAGGUAACGGCCCACCAAGGCGACGACGGGUA
rnacentral:rRNA from 1 species